rnacentral:rRNA from 1 species
CUAGAGGCAUCCGAUCCUUCCCGAAGAGGGGAGAACACGAUGAAACCGAACUAGCCAAUUGCCGCUGUCGCUCACACGCCGCCAGCGCCGGCCGCCCCCAAUUCCUCUUCCGCAGCAUCCCCACCACUCACUGCCACCUCCACCUCCUCCUUCCCCUCCCGCCUAUUAUCUCCUCUCCCCCUACCCUGUCCCCUUCGAUGCCGAUGUCGACAUGUACGCCGCCGGCGCCGUCUGUCCCCGAGGUCCGUGACACCUCUUCUGUCUCCUUUGAUGCAGAAGCCCCUCCGCCCGCCAUCUCCCUCUAUCGCAUCUCAUCUGCGUCGACAUCGGCAAGUACGUCACCGGCAUCGUCCGCCCCCUGAUUCAGCAACGGCUCUCAUGCAGCAGCCCCGGCGCCCACCAGCUUCACCUCCUUCCCAUCGACGCGCUCCACGUCUGUCCAAUUCGAGUAUGAGCUGCUCCCCAGGACCUCUAUGUCGUUUGCAACUGGAGCACUACCCACGAGCUCCACAGUCCAGACCCGCAUCAUCCUCCUUCCGUCUUGGAGAUGGCAAAUCUGGUGUGAUGAUUGAUGUGAAGGUACUGUGCUCUGAUGGUCCCUCUCCUUCCCAGUCCCAAGUCAAAAAUUUCCGUUACUCAAAAGUUCAAAUCCACACGCCUAUCUCGAACUGUCUAGAAACCACUCAUGUCAUGUAGCCGCGCUGCUCAAACUACAUCCCCAAGAAGCCACAUAAUCUUUAGCUCGAACGGAGUGUGAGGAGGCGUGAGUCACUGUUAUUAUCCAUCUAAUCUACUUUUUUCAAGGACCAUGGUUUGGGUGUGGAAGAAUAGUAGAAUCUUCUCUACUUCUCAUGAACCCCUUGCUUCAUCUCUAUUAUACAAUCUUUUUCUGGCAGAAAUCUGGUUGAUGUUAAAUAAGAAAGUGACAAGAGGUCCAGUACAAUUUUUAUGUGCGUGUAUGUACAUUCUGUUUCUUUGCUUGGUACAAAAUAUAUUGCAAGGGAUGUUCCUUUUUGCUUCGUUAAAUAUACUACAUACCCUCUACAGACUCGGCUUAUUUUCCUUUGUCUGAAUAUAACACAGACGAAUUGAAUGCAGUAGUUGUUGGAAUUCAGUAAUGUUCAGGCUUGUUCGAGUGUUAGUUUUCUUCAGAAUUUCAGUGUUCCUUUUCUGAAGAAAGUUAUAAAGGAACUUCUUGUGAAUUUUGGUUGUUACUCGUUGAGAUUGUAUCCUCUAUUUUUGUUUGCCUAGGUAUAUCUUCUGCGAUUGUUCUGAUGGAACGCCUCUCAACAUGAUCCUCUGUUCACUUUUUUGUUAUGGCUUUGGUUGUUUGAAUAGCUUUGCUUUCAACUGUACGUGCUACAUAAGGACUCAAAUAUGUCCUAAGAUUUUGGCCAACGAAUUGAGCUUGAUAGCUUUAAAACUUGCUGGCCAAGAGAUAAGAUCUUCUUGUUCAGGAUGAGUCUAUAUAUACAGCCAUGUAUGGCAGGUCCUCUGCAUCAAUCUCAUCUGGUGUUCCUCCACAUACUACAUCUGAACCUUGGCAUAGAGAGAGCUACGUUGGUGAGAACCUGUUGGUUCAUCUCCUCUUGAGUGCACAACAGGAGAUACGAGAUCAUUGUAUCUUGGAGGAGAGCCGCCGUUUAAUUCAUGCACCAUGGCGAGGGCGUGAAUCUUCUUGAAGACGGCGCCUACCGGUGUGCCUUGAUCCAGUCGAGCUGCUGCACCAUGAUCUGCUGCGACCACAUCUUCACCAACAUACGACACCGACGACGUCAACAAUAGUGGUUGUUUAAUGUGUUUUUAGGCGAGCAGAUAAAUGAAGAGAAAACCCCAUAACUAAAAUUGUUGGCAUAUAUGUUUGAGCAAGCAGGGUAUACUAUGCCUGACAAAUGAUUUUAUGGCCUGAUAUAGAUGACUAAUGUAUAUAACUAAUUAAGUUGAACUAGCUGUGUGAGUUAUCUCUAGAAUAUUUCUUUUCUUCGUCGUAGCGCUGUAGGCAGAUUAAUUUUUCUUGUGCA